rnacentral:rRNA from 1 species
CCGCCAGAAUAAUACGAGCAACCGCUUAAAACUUAAAGGACUUGGCGGUGCUCAACACCCCCCCAGAGGAGCCUGUUCUAUAAUCGACAACCCCCGCUUAACCUCACCACUCUUUGCAUCUACAGUCUAUAUACCUCCGUCUUCAGCUCACCCCCUGAGGGGAAACAAGUGAGUACAACCAGUCAACUAAAAACGUCAGGUCAAGGUGUAACAUAUAGGGUGGAAAGAAAUGGGCUCAUUUUCUUACUAAGAAAACACGGACGCACUAAUGAAAAAAGUGCUAGAAGGCGGAUUUGGUAGUAAAAAGAAACAAUCGAGUCCUUUUUAAACUGGCUCUUGAGCGCGC